ACACCCGCGCGGGGAGCGCCGCCCGCGCGGCCGCGCGCAACGUGGGCGCCCCACCUGUGACACGCUGCCCCCUUCGGCGGGGUUCCGGAGAAGAGCGUCCUGCGAAUGUGUACACAGGCCAGGCACGGUGCUCGGCACCGGGAAAUUAGAGACUGUAAUAGGUUUUAAAAAGCCCCUGCCCUCGGGAGACUUGCAUUCUGGUGGAGAAGCUACACAAUAGAUAUGGAAGCAGAUAAACGAGCAUUUUAGAAAAGACCAGUUCUAUGGAGACAAUACUGCGGGAUGACGGGGCGCAGUGGACCGCAUUAGAUGGAUUUCUAACCCAUCUCCAGGAUAGGUAUUUGGAGCUGACAUCUGAACUAUGAAAAUAUGAAACCUGAGAAGAAAGGUUUGAGGUCUCAGAGGCCCAAUGAAGCAACAGGAACGAAGGGUUUACGUAUGCUGUCCCAUAUGGUUGGCUGCUGAUGAGUUGAAAUGUGGUUCUGACACUACCUGAAACGAAAGAUUGGUAAAACUAAACAGCACUUACAAAACUCAUCCCCUAGAACAACAGCCAGGUUCGUAACUGCAGAAGCCGCACAGCGAAAGCUAAAGGGCAUUUUGAACUUGGCUGUAUGGUUAAGGAUGGAGGAGAAGGGUACCAGCCCUUAAAGAGAAAUAACAGAUUUGUGUGGCUAAAAAGUAGACCAGAAAUCCUUAUGGAACUGCGUAGUGAUUGUAAAUUCUUAUUGGGACCAUCUCUAUGCAUUUGUACAAGUUUGACAUUUUUAAAACCAUAAGACAUUUUUCUUUCAUCAUUGAAAACAAUGAUUUCUAUUUGGCCACAUUUGAGUAGGUUACACUUUAGGCUCCUACUUUUUCCUCUCCAUAUCAGUUGUGAUGUUAUUGUAACUUGUUCACCUGUGUUUCUGAGGGUUUUAGUGUGUAGAUAAGGAAACUUCCAUAAGGGAGAACUUUGUAGAAGCCUGGAGUUGAGGAGACCUGGGUUCUACCACCCACUGUGCCGUCAAAACCGCCAUGGGGUCUUGUGCAAGUCACAUGAUAGCUCUGAAUACCAAUCUCUCUCCCGCCUUGUAAUGAAACUUUGUACAAGACAGAAAAUACAAGCAGAAAAAGUAGCAAAUAAAAUCUGU